UACGGAGGGUGCAAGCGUUAUCCGGAUUCACUGGGUUUAAAGGGUGCGUAGGUGGGCUGGUAAGUCCGUGGUGAAAUCUCCGAACUUAACUCGGAAACUGCCGUGGAUACUAUUAGUCUUGAAUACUGUGGAGGUAAGCGGAAUAUGUCAUGUAGCGGUGAAAUGCUUAGAUAUGACAUAGAACACCGAUAGCGAAGGCAGCUUGCUACACAGUCAUUGACACUGAGGCACGAAAGCGUGGGGAGCAAACAGG
rnacentral:rRNA from 1 species